rnacentral:rRNA from 1 species
GCCGUAAACGAUGUCUACUAGCCGUUGGGGAUUUAUUUCUUUAGUGGCGCAGCUAACGCGAUAAGUAGACCGCCUGGGGAGUAUCGGCCGCAAGGUUAAACACUCAAAUGAAUUGACGGGGGCCCGCACAAGCUGGUGGAGCAUGUGGUUUAAUUCGAAGCAACGCGAAGAACCUUACCUACUCUUGACAUCCAGAGAACUUUUCAGAGAUGAAUUGGUGCCUUCGGGAACUAUGAGACAGGUGCUGCAUGGCUGUCGUCAGCUCGUGUUGUGAAAUGUUGGGUUAAGUCCCGUAACGAGCGCAACCCUUAUCCUUAUUUGCCAGCACUUCGGGUGGGAACUCUAAGGAGACUGCCGGUGACAAACCGGAGGAAGGUGGGGACGACGUCAAGUCAUCAUGGCCCUUACGACGUAGGGCUACACACGUGCUACAAUGGCGUAUACAGAGGGCAGCGAACUCGCGAGGGUAAGCAAAUCCCAAAAAGUACGUCGUAGUCCGGAUUGGAGUCUGCAACUCGACUCCAUGAAGUCGGAAUCGCUAGUAAUCGUGAAUCAGAAUGUCACGGUGAAUACGUUCCCGGGCCUUGUAUCACACCGCCCGUCACACCAUGGGAGUUGAUUGCUCCAGAAGUAGCUAGCUUAACCUUCGGGAUG